rnacentral:rRNA from 1 species
GAUGAACGCUGGCGGCGUGCCUAAUACAUGCAAGUCGAGCGAACGGACGAGAAGCUUGCUUCUCUGAUGUUAGCGGCGGACGGGUGAGUAACACGUGGAUAACCUACCUAUAAGACUGGGAUAACUUCGGGAAACCGGAGCUAAUACCGGAUAAUAUUUUGAACCGCAUGGUUCAAAAGUGAAAGACGGUCUUGCUGUCACUUAUAGAUGGAUCCGCGCUGCAUUAGCUAGUUGGUAAGGUAACGGCUUACCAAGGCAACGAUGCAUAGCCGACCUGAGAGGGGUGAUCGCCCACCCUGGAACUGAGAAACGGUCCAACCCCCUACGGGGGGCAGAAGGAGGAAACUUCCCGAAAUGGGGGAAAGCCUAACGGGGCAACGCCGGGUGGGGGAGGAAGGGUUCCGGAUCGAAAACCCUUGUUAUUGGGAAAAAACAAAUGUUAAAGUACCUGUGAACAUUUUGACGGUACCAAAUCAAAAAGCCCCGGCUAACUACGG